AUUUUUUUUUUUUUUUUUUAAAUAUCAAAACGAAAGUAAUUCAAAUAAUUUGUGCAACAUGCUACCACCAUAGCCUGACCUAAUUUAUGUUGAAUAGCUUAUGACCUAGUUGUUUGAGUUUAUCUUAAUUCUUACAAAACAACAAACCAUUUCUAUCACCUCUCAAAAAAUCUUAAUAUUAAGCAACUUUCAACAGGCUGAAAUUAAAAAAUCUCUUGCAGACUGCAAAUAUUUGAUAGAUAUGAUGAGGAUUGUCAACUUUUAUUUUAUUUAGUGGGCUGUCAGCACAAAAUUGAACACAUAAUAUAUUUUCCAGGAGAAAAUUUAAAUUCUUUUGUCAUAAUGAAGUUUUUGCUUUAUUUUGUCAACUAAGAACUCGGGUUUGAUUUAGACUAGAUUAACACUUGACUUGAAUAAAUUAUUUUUGUU